UGGAGGCCAUUCAUUGUAACUGUAACUAAGGUAGAGGCAUACCUUAAAUAAAAAAAAGAACAACAAACACCUUCCGGUAAAAAAAAAAAAAAAACACAACGGAGGCAAAGGAGACAGGUAGCAAGCGGAGUGAUAAAAUGCGGUUUGAGCUAUCACAAGACUACAAACCACUGCUCUCAAGGCAGCAGAAAAGCUCUAUGAAAACUGGGCAGCUAUCGGUGACAGGAUCCUGGCGUUUGCCCAGCAAGAAGGAAAACUGCAGUCAGUGUCCAGUGACAUGACACCAGAUGGUCCCAAGCUGCCUUCAAUAAUCCAAUGCACAGCCAUGCCAGUACACCCCGGGCUACACCCCUGAUGCUACACUACUCACAC